rnacentral:rRNA from 1 species
AAUAGAUACCCGGGUAGUCCACGCCGUAAACGAUGAGUGCUAGGUGUUAGGGGGUCCAACCCUUAGUGCCGAAGUUAACACAUUAAGCACUCCGCCUGGGGAGUACGGCCGCAAGGCUGAAACUCAAAGGAAUUGACGGGGGCCCGCACAAGCGGUGGAGCAUGUGGUUUAAUUCGAAGCAACGCGAAGAACCUUACCAGGUCUUGACAUCCCUCUGACCUCUCUAGAGAUAGAGAUUCCCCUUCGGGGGCAGAGGUGACAGGUGGUGCAUGGUUGUCGUCAGCUCGUGUCGUGAGAUGUUGGGUUAAGUCCCGCAACGAGCGCAACCCUUGAGAUUAGUUGCCAGCAUUCAGUUGGGCACUCUAAUCUGACUGCCGCAGACAAUGCGGAGGAAGGUGGGGAUGACGUCAAAUCAUCAUGCCCCUUAUGACCUGGGCUACACACGUGCUACAAUGGAUGGUACAAAGGGUUGCGAAGCCGUGAGGUGGAGCCAAUCCCAUAAAGCCAUUCUCAGUUCGGAUUGU